UACGUAGGUCGCAAGCGUUGUCCGGAUUUACUGGGCGUAAAGAGCGCGCAGGCGGCUGGUCAAGUCCGAUGUGAAAUCUCCCGGCUCAACUGGGAAACUGCAUCGGAAACUGACCGGCUUGAAGGUGGGAGAGGGUAGUGGAAUUCCCGGUGUAGUGGUGAAAUGCGUAGAUAUCGGGAGGAACACCGGUGGCGAAGGCGGCGACCUGGGUCGAUACUGACGCUGAGGCGCGAAAGCGUGGGGAGCAAACAGG
rnacentral:rRNA from 1 species